rnacentral:tRNA from 1 species
GGGGGUAGAGUUCAAGUGGUAGAGUGCAUGCUUAGCAUGCACAAGGUCCUAGGUUCGAUCCCCAGUACCUCCU